GGCAACGUGGCGCAGUGGCUUGAACAUUGGACUAUGACUCUGGAGACCAGGGUUCGAAUCUUGGCUCAGCCA